AUGUUUAGGGAAUUUGUGUUGGGUUAGGUUCGGUGUGAUCCCGCCCCCGAAAUAUUGAGAAAUAUUGGCGAUUUGAAAAAUCACCUUUUCAUGCCUCCCGAUAUAUCACAUAUCGGGGAUAUAUCAUGAUAUUUACCGAAAUUUUCGUCCUUAUUCAAGACAACCAUGAUUUUGGGGGCGACAGAUGAAGAUGUGUGACAUGCCCCAAACUUACGCGUUAGGUCAAAGUUUGUGUUAGGCCUCGUGCCAAACAUAUUGACUUUGGGUUGGCCAAAACUUGGCCCAACCCACCAAAUACUGUGGAUGUAAAGCCCGUAACCAACAACCCCAUGUUGAAAGUUGAAACCCAACAUUUCUAGAGAGAGAUUUUGACAAAGAGUGCAGGCAUUCAAUAUGUUGACCCUUAAACACCUGUUGAAGAGGUUUCCAAGCCAGCUAACCAAGUAAUCAAUCUCCGACUGGGUUUGGACUCAUUGGAAUGCUACUCCUUAACCAAAGCCUCAUCCUAAGUAAACUAAAAGUAAAAGUCCGUCUGGGAGAGUGAUUUGAAAAGAAGCUAAAAGCAUAAUGCUUGAUACCUCUUUCUUACAAAAUACAAUCAAUUAAUAAGUUAUUCUUCCAAAACUAAAGCUAUCCAAACAAAAGUGAUACUAAUAAAAUUCUACACAUAAAAUUACUUUAACCACAAUCACUCCCAAACAAGCUCGUUUAUCAAUCCGGAACAGCAAAC
rnacentral:lncRNA from 1 species